rnacentral:rRNA from 1 species
UAAAUACUCCCUAGUGACCGAUAGUGAACCAGUACCGUGAGGGAAAGGUGAAAAGCACCCCGGAAGGGGAGUGAAACAGUUCCUGAAACCGUGUGCCUACAAGUAGUUAGAGCCCGUUAAUGGGUGAUAGCGUGCCUUUUGUAGAAUGAACCGGCGAGUUACGAUUUGUUGCAAGGUUAAGCGGAAAAAGCGGAGCCGUAGCGAAAGCGAGUCUGAAUAGGGCGCAUAAGUAACAGGUCGUAGACCCGAAACCAGGUGAUCUACCCAUGUCCAGGAUGAAGGUAAGGUAAUACUUACUGGAGGUCCGAACCCACGCACGUUGAAAAGUGCGGGGAUGAGGUGUGGGUAGCGGAGAAAUUCCAAUCGAACUUGGAGAUAGCUGGUUCUCUCCGAAAU